GCUCUACCAUUCCACACUACUGUUGUUCCUUAUUUUUUAGGACAAAAAGGUAAAUAUAAAUAGAAAAGAAAAACAGCCAUCUUGGGAAUAAUGAGAAGGAGGGGCAAAGAGGGAAAGCAAGAUAAUCCCAUCCUCUGUUGUCACUUUACUGCUGGCAUGCUGUCAUAGAAGCGGAAGGGAUCUUUCACAUCCAGUAGCAAAAGAUCCAGAGGCUAUCAUACCAACAUACUGGCCUCUGCAUGGUCCAGGAUUUUCUUGCUAAAAAUGAAUACUGGAACUAACUAUGACAACACUGUAAAAAAAUUAAAGUUGUUUUGGGGAGCAUUAAUUCCAAGAUUAUCUUUGCCAGUUGGGAGAUUCUGGGAAUUGUCAAACAAAAGGGAUUGGAACCAAUGGUUGGAAAUGGCAAGAAAACAGAUAUCGGUAAGACACUAGAAGAAACACUCUCAUGCUACAAGCAGUUUGAAAAGAGACCAUGUGCCUGUUUGAUAGUAGCGGGGCUCUCCUUCUCUGAAGAACAGGACACGUCAGUUAACCCAGUAGGUGGACUGAGGACAAUCAUGAAGCCAGCACCAUCUAAUAGAUGGGAUGGGGGAGAGAGAUGAUUCUGUAUGUUGCCCUCUUUUCCUCACGCUGUGAUGAGGUGCCUGUGCUCAAGUGCUUAACUGGAUAUUUCUGAGAUAAGUAACUCUAAAUUGUGAUUUCACCAAACAUUGCCCUGUCCUCUUCUUAUGACAGUAUGGAAAGCUAUUCUGGCAUUUAUCACACAAAACUGCUAUUCCAUGGUAAUCAGGCGAUCAUUGAUGCCAGGAUGAGCACUCUCGCUAUUAAACAUUUCUGCAUUUGCACAAUUGGUUAUACAUCUGUAUAAUCUUAUAGCUCUGUCGUUCUGCACAUCCCCUGCUCUGUACCUUUUUUAAAUAAAAAGUUUGUUUUAAGCGAUUUGAAAUGCCAGCUAAUGUUUUUGUUUUUAAUAAAAAACAAAUAAAAAAUUAAAUCUCAAAAUUUACUUCCUCAGGAAUAGUGAUGGGGGAGAGGAAGAGAGAAAGAAAUUCCCACCUCCUGAGCUCAUUUCAGUGCCGGCUCACCCACACAAAGGCAGAACACCCCCAUUGUACAAGAUAGGUGAUGGGAACAUAGUAUGAACUGCAGCCAUUGAUAAUGAGUUUUUUAGUCAAUAGCAGGAGGGUAGGUUUAUUACGAUAAGGAGCAGACAAUGUGAUGCACAUCAUGUGACAGGGAUUUAAUUCCAGUUUGCUUCCUUUGUGCAGUAAAGUUCUUCUCUCCAAUAACAUGAUCUGCAUGGAGCCAUGUGGUAUAGUGAUUGACCUGGGACCCCGGUGGCACAGUGUGUUAAAGUGCUGAGCCGUUGGGCUAUGAUUCUGGAGCACAGGCUUCACAUUCUGACUCAAGCACGGAAACCCAUUGUGUGCACUUGAGAAAGUCACAUACUCUUAUCUUCAGAGACCCUGUUAUAAGUUCACUAUAAACCAAAAAUGACUUGCAGGCAUACAGUAAUAAAGUUGAUUUGUACUUGUUCUUGGGCAGUCAAAAAUGAAGUUUGGCACUCAGCAUAAGAGUGGAACCAUGCCCUUCAGACAGUCCCAAAAUAUAGUCAGCUAAAUUGACCCAUUAGCCGAGUUCCUACAUCAAACAGGUCGAGCAUAACAUUCCACUUGUAUCAUUUUGUGUCUUGCUUUGCAGUGAUCGUAAAACUCUCAGGACCCUUCUACACUGCCCCUAUAUUACAGGAUAUGAUCCCAGAUUAUCUGUUUAGCCCAGGUUAUCUGGCAGUGUUCACUCAUAUAAUCUGAUUUUAAAAAGAUAGUAGCCCCUGGUGGCACAGUGGAUUAAACCCUUGUGCUGGCAGGACUGCUGACUUGAAGGCUGGGUUGCUUACCUGAAGGUUGCCAGUUCGAAUCCAACCCAGGGAGA
rnacentral:lncRNA from 11 species